rnacentral:rRNA from 1 species
CGCGGCCUAUCAGCUUGUUGGUGAGGUAACGGCUCACCAAGGCAUCGACGGGUAGCUGGUCUGAGAGGACGAUCAGCCACACUGGGACCGAGACACGGCCCAGACUCCUACGGGAGGCAGCAGUAGGGAAUCUUGCGCAAUGGGCGAAAGCCUGACGCAGCAACGCCGCGUGAGGGAUGAAGGCCCUCGGGUUGUAAACCCCUUUCAGCAGGGACGAAAAUGACGGUACCUGCAGAAGAAGCCCCGGCCAACUACGUGCCAGCAGCCGCGGUAAUACGUAGGGGGCAAGCGUUGUCCGGAAUUAUUGGGCGUAAAGAGCUCGUAGGCGGUUCGGUAAGUCGGGUGUGAAAAUCCAGGGCUCAACCCUGGGACGCCACCCGAUACUGCUGUGACUAGAGUCCGGUAGAGGAGCGUGGAAUUUCUGGUGUAGCGGUGAAAUGCGCAGAUAUCAGAAGGAACACCAGCGGCGAAGGCGGCGCUCUGGGCCGGUACUGGCGCUGAGGAGCGAAAGCGUGGGGAGCAAACAGGAUUAGAUACCCUGGUAGUCCACGCCGUAAACGUUGGGCACUAGGUAUGGGGUCUUAUCAACGGAUUCCGUGCCGUAGCUAACGCAUUAAGUGCCCCGCCUGGGGAGUACGG